GAUGAACGCUGGCGGCGUGCUUAACACAUGCAAGUCGAACGAUGAAGCUGGAGCUUGCUCUGGUGGAUUAGUGGCGAACGGGUGAGUAACACGUGAGCAACCUGCCCCUGACCCUGGGAUAACAGCCGGAAACGGCUGCUAAUACCGGAUAUGCACCAUGAACGCAUGUUCUGUGGUGGGAAAGAUUUUUCGGUUGGGGAUGGGCUCGCGGCCUAUCAGCUUGUUGGUGAGGUAAUGGCUCACCAAGGCGUCGACGGGUAGCCGGCCUGAGAGGGUGACCGGCCACACUGGGACUGAGACACGGCCCAGACUCCUACGGGAGGCAGCAGUGGGGAAUAUUGCACAAUGGGCGAAAGCCUGAUGCAGCAACGCCGCGUGAGGGAUGACGGCCUUCGGGUUGUAAACCUCUUUUAGCAGGGAAGAAGCGAGAGUGACGGUACCUGCAGAAAAAGCGCCGGCUAACUACGUG
rnacentral:rRNA from 1 species